GACGAACGCUGGCGGCGUGCCUAAUACAUGCAAGUAGAACGCUGAAGGAGGAGCUUGCUUCUCUGGAUGAGUUGCGAACGGGUGAGUAACGCGUAGGUAACCUGCCUGGUAGCGGGGGAUAACUAUUGGAAACGAUAGCUAAUACCGCAUAAUAGUAGAUGUUGCAUGACAUUUGCUUAAAAGUUGCAAUUGCAUCACUACCAGAUGGACCUGCGUUGUAUUAGCUAGUUGGUGAGGUAACGGCUCACCAAGGCGACGAUACAUAGCCGACCUGAGAGGGUGAUCGGCCACACUGGGACUGAGACACGGCCCAGACUCCUACGGGAGGCAGCAGUAGGGAAUCUUCGGCAAUGGACGGAAGUCUGACCGAGCAACGCCGCGUGAGUGAAGAAGGUUUUCGGAUCGUAAAGCUCUGUUGUAAGAGAAGAACGAGUGUGAGAGUGGAAAGUUCACACUGUGACGGUAUCUUACCAGAAAGGGACGGCUAACUACGUG
rnacentral:rRNA from 1 species